AACAAAAUAUACUAUCCAAAUAUGGACAACAUUUCUAGAAAAGGUAGGGGACAAAAAUAAAUUCCAGGCAGAGGCACCAUUGAUGGCCUUAAAGUCUAUCACGACAGACAUACGCUUACACAAGUGGUCGUUGGCAGGAAUAACACACAUACACCAAUUACUUAAAUCCCAAAAAAUGAUGACAUUCCCCGACAUACAACAC